rnacentral:lncRNA from 1 species
AUUUUUUUAUUUAGUUAGUUCGUGGAUUGGAAAUAAUUAAAAAUUUUCAAUCCGCAAACCAAUCCUCAAAAUGGUGGAUUGGAUAUGGAUUGGGUCAAAUCCGCAUCCAAUCCGCAGAUGUAUGGAUUGGAUUUGAAUUGAAUUUCACCAAUCUGUAGAUUGAAUUAGAUUGAAAAAUUAUAAUCUAUAAAAUUAUUGAUCGGAUAUGAAUGAACGUCCAAUCUAUAAAAUCCGAUCCACCAACACCCCUAUUUUCAACCCUCUUUAUUGAUCUCUCUUGUGAGCAACACCUUGCCCACCAGACAGUUUGCAGCGAUUUUUCUCAUUUUAUCUUUACUCUUCCCAUAAACAUUAUCAUGUCCUCCUCUUCUUCUUUUAAGAAAAUUGAUUGACACUCGCGAAUUAAUUCCUUUGUAUCCAUAUUCCACUAUAUGUUCACCCCCAAAAAUAAAGACUUUUCCACCAAUCCUUCUAUAACUACAAUUAAUAGUAACACGUAAGGGAAAACUUUUCCCAAGCCUGUAAGAAAACAGUAAGAGUAAGAGAACAAGAAAAAAAGAAAACACCCAACAAAUGAGUGACUAAAACCCAGCCGUGCAGGCUUCAGCCUACUUUCAUUCUAGCACUUUUUCAAAGAGAAAGCAUAAUAGAAGAAAGAAUUCAUAUAAUAGACCCUUAAGUUAAAUUACUCAAAAGGUUAAAAUACUCUUUCUCGGAUGUGAUCAUUAUGCAAUUUCACUAAGUAGGUUGACUUGGUAUUAAAAUUUGAACAAAUUAAUAUAUUUGUGAAAUUUCAUAUAUUAUUUUUCUCUAUUAUUAUUAAUAAUUUUGGUGAUUAAGAGAAUUAACAAAAAUUACCAGUAAAUAGCAGUAAUGAAAGAACUUUUUAAAUACAUAAUAUAUGUACAUGAAAAAAAAGAAUAUAGUAGCUCAUCUUGUGAUAGAUAUUGUGUAACUGUGAUUAAACUAAUCACAAAACCUGCAGAUUUUGUGAUCACAAAGGAAAGCUGAAAUUAUGCAAGAAAUUAUUCACUCCAAAAAAUUAUUCACUUUUGGAAAUACAACAAAUAUCUAAUGACUUGCUACAAAUGCAAGCUUAUACAACAAAUUAACCACAAAAAAAAAACCACAAAAGUAUCUUUAUUGCUAAAUCUUUUAGAAUUAUCAGUUAUGAUUGUAAAGCAUCCCUUUAUUUUUGUGAUCUCAUCUCAACCGUUGUGCUAUUUAAAUAAAUUAAUGAAAACAAACAACGCAAAGGGGGACUUUUUCUGUUAAUACGUUACAUUUCUUGUCUAGUGUAUUGUUUUUUUCAAAACAAUAUUCUUUAUUUAAAUGCCUGUUAUUUAUUAUAAAUAGGUACAUAUACAUCAUCAUCAUUUCACUCAAUUAAAGCAAAAGAGCAGCAGCCCAUAUCUUCAAAUUAAACAAUGGCUAAUCAUCAUAUUCAGCAUUCCUUCCUUGGCUUAUUUUGCGUCAUUUUGAUUUUGAAUUCAGGUAAUAAUUAAAACUCAUCUCAAUUAAUUAGUUAACAAAUGUUUUGGUAUCUGUAUAUUAUAUGUACUUUCAUGCUUCCAUCUGCAGGUUUUUGUUUUUGCUUUUAUUUUUCUUUAAACCAAUUCUUACUUUAUUAUUUCUCUUAUCUUAAAUGACGCGACCACAUCAGUUGAAUUUUAGAGUCACUUUUUAAGAUAUCCAACAUGUUUUAAUGAAAGUCAAAUUAUCAUCUGAAAAGUUCAACGGUUAAUGAUCGAAACUAUAUAUGUGACUUUAGCUGUAACAUCAAAAUGAAGCUUUAAUUGCAUUAUUAUUUUUAUUAAAUGCACUUACAUUUGUGAACUUUCUUCAAAGUUUGAGACAUAUAAUAAACAACUCACAUUUAUCGAAAAGAAAUAAAUAAGAAUAUUAAAGGAAUGAAUGUACUGCAUUUAUUUAGUGUAGACGGAUUCACACAUUCAAAUUAAUGGUUAUGAACAUUCAAUAUUUUCUCACACUUUCUGAGGAGCCAAACAACGUAUUGACCAAUUUUUAUUUUUUUUUUCAAAAGCUGCAGGGCCAGCACCAGCAGCGGCACUAAAAGUAUUGCCGAAUUGCUUUGGAAGUUGUAUAACUGUUCAAGAAUGCAACUCAGACUGUAUCGCCAAGAAUUUCAAAAGUGGUGUCUGCAUUGGCCUCGGAUCUGAUUAUGCUUGUUGCUGUCUUAAUUAAUUAGAAAACUCAUGAUCACCCCCAAACUUUGCCUUAACAUACUUGCCUUUGCUUCUCAUUUAAUUUCUUGUUCUAUAUAUAUAUAUAUAAGAAACUAAUUUUUCACUUCAAUAAUAUUGCCCUCUACUAGUAAAUACUAUUCUACUCUUUACAAUAAGGGAAUAUAUUCUAGUCAAUAUUAAUUAUUUCAAUU